rnacentral:rRNA from 1 species
UGGGGAAUAUUGGACAAUGGGGGCAACCCUGAUCCAGCCAUGCCGCGUGAGUGAUGAAGGCCUUCGGGUUGUAAAGCUCUUUUGGCGGGGACGAUGAUGACGGUACCCGCAGAAUAAGCCCCGGCUAACUUCGUGCCAGCAGCCGCGGUAAGACGAAGGGGGCUAGCGUUGUUCGGAAUUACUGGGCGUAAAGCGAGUGUAGGCGGUUGCCGUAGUCAGGUGUGAAAAGCCUUGAGCUCAACUCAAGAAAUGCACUUGAUACUGGGUGACUAGAGGACCGGAGAGGAUAGUGGAAUUCCCAGUGUAGUGGUGAAAUACGUAGAGAUUGGGAAGAACACCAGUGGCGAAGGCGGCUAUCUGGACGGUUACUGACGCUAAGACUCGAAAGCGUGGGGAGCAAAACAGGA